rnacentral:rRNA from 1 species
CGCGUAGGCGGCUUGGCAAGUGGAAGGUGAAAUCCCUCGGCUUAACCGAGGAACUGCCCUCCAAACUGCUUUGCUUGAGGCCGGGAGAGGUGAGUGGAAUUCCCAGUGUAGCGGUGAAAUGCGUAGAUAUUGGGAGGAACACCAGUGGCGAAGGCGGCUCACUGGACCGGUUCUGACGCUGAUGCGCGAAAGCGUGGGGAGCAAACG